CAAAAUGUAGCUUAGCUAAAGCCCUUCGCUUACACCGAACUGACAUCUGUUAGACCCAGAUCAUUUUGA
rnacentral:tRNA from 1 species